rnacentral:rRNA from 1 species
GCUUAAAGAGGGGUUAAUGUCCUAUCAGCUAGUUGGUGGGGUAAUGGCCUACCAAGGCAAAGACGGGUAGCCGGCUUGAGAGGGUGGUCGGCCACACUGGGACUGAGACACUGCCCAGACUCCUACGGGAGGCUGCAGUCGAGAAUCUUUCGCAAUGCCCGAAAGGGUGACGAAGCGACGCCGCGUGUGGGUAGAAGGCCUUCGGGUUGUAAACCACUGUCGGGAGUUAGGAAAUGCAAGAGCGUUAAUAGCGCACUUGCUUGACUAAGGCUCCAGAGGAAGCCACGGCUAACUCUGUGCCAGCAGCCGCGGUAAUACAGAGGCGGCAAGCGUUGUUCGGAAUUAUUGGGCGUAAAGAGCACGUAGGCGGCCUUGCAAGUCAGUUGUGAAAGCCUUCCGCUUAACGGAAGAACGGCAUCUGAUACUACAGGGCUUGAGUACGGGAGGG